rnacentral:rRNA from 1 species
UGGUGGAGUGAUUUGUCUGGUUAAUUCCGAUAACGAACGAGACUCUAGCCUAUUAAAUAGUUAACGCAUGCUGAGCAGUGCUUGUUAACUUCUUAGGGGGAUUUACCACGUUAUAUGGCAAGAAAUUGAGCAAUAACA